rnacentral:rRNA from 1 species
ACUGAGACACGCCCGAACUCUACGGGAGCAGCAGUGGGGAUAUGGACAAUGGGGCAACCUGAUCCAGCCAUGCCGCGUGUGUGAAGAAGGCCCUCGGGUGUAAAGCACUUUCAGCGAGGAAGAACGCCUAUCGGUUAAUACCCGGUAGGAAAGACAUCACUCGCAGAAGAAGCACCGGCUAACUCCGUGCCAGCAGCCGCGGUAAUACGGAGGGUGCAAGCGUUAAUCGGAAUUACUGGGCGUAAAGCGCGCGUAGGUGGCUUGAUAAGCCGGUUGUGAAAGCCCCGGGCUCAACCUGGGAACGGCAUCCGGAACUGUCAGGCUAGAGUGCAGGAGAGGAAGGUAGAAUUCCCGGUGUAGCGGUGAAAUGCGUAGAGAUCGGGAGGAAUACCAGUGGCGAAGGCGGCCUUCUGGACUGACACUGACACUGAGGUGCGAAAGCGUGGGUAGCAAACAGGAUUAGAUACCCUGGUAGUCCACGCCGUAAACGAUGUCGACCAGCCGUUGGGUGCCUAGAGCACUUUGUGGCGAAGUUAACGCGAUAAGUCGACCGCCUGGGGAGUACGGCCGCAAGGUUAAAACUCAAAUGAAUUGACGGGGGCCCGCACAAGCGGUGGAGCAUGUGGUUUAAUUCGAUGCAACGCGAAGAACCUUACCUACCCUUGACAUCUACAGAAGCCGGAAGAGAUUCUGGUGUGCCUUCGGGAACUGUAAGACAGGUGCUGCAUGGCUGUCGUCAGCUCGUGUUGUGAAAUGUUGGGUUAAGUCCCGUAACGAGCGCAACCCUUGUCCUUAUUUGCCAGCGAGUAAUGUCGGGAACUCUAAGGAGACUGCCGGUGACAAACCGGAUGAAGGUGGGGACGACGUCAAGUCAUCAUGGCCCUUACGGGUAGGGCUACACACGUGCUACAAUGGCCGGUACAAAGGGCUGCGAGCUCGCGAGAGUCAGCGAAUCCCUUAAAGCCGGUCUCAGUCCGGAUCGGAGUCUGCAACUCGACUCCGUGAAGUCGGAAUCGCUAGUAAUCGUAUUCAGAAUAUUGGUAUGUAAUU